AGAAUCAACGCUGGCGGCGUGCCUAACACAUGCAAGUCGAACGAGAAAGGGACUUCGGUCCUGAGUAUAGUGGCGCACGGGUGAGUAACACGUGAAUAAUCUACCUCCGAGUGGGGAAUAACCUGGAGAAAUCUAGGCUAAUACCGCAUAACACUUACGAGUCAAAGCAGCAAUGCGCUUGGAGAGGAGUUCGCGGCAGAUUAGUUAGUUGGCGGGGUAAUGGCCCACCAAGACGAUGAUCUGUAUCCGGCCUGAGAGGGCGCACGGACACACUGGAACUGAAACACGGUCCAGACUCCUACGGGAGGCAGCAGUGGGGAAUUUUGCGCAAUGGGGGAAACCCUGACGCAGCAACGCCGCGUGGAGGAUGAAGUAUCUUGGUACGUAAACUCCUUUCGAUGGGGAAGAUAAUGACGGUACCCAUAGAAGAAGCCCGGCUAACUUCGUGCCAGCAGCCGCGGUAAU
rnacentral:rRNA from 1 species